UGGGGAAUAUUGGACAAUGGGGGCAACCCUGAUCCAGCAAUGCCGCGUGUGUGAAGAAGGUCUUCGGAUUGUAAAGCACUUUCGACGGGGACGAUGAUGACGGUACCCGUAGAAGAAGCCCCGGCUAACUUCGUGCCAGCAGCCGCGGUAAUACGAAGGGGGCUAGCGUUGCUCGGAAUGACUGGGCGUAAAGGGCGUGUAGGCGGUUUACACAGUCAGAUGUGAAAUCCCCGGGCUUAACCUGGGAGCUGCAUUUGAUACGUGUAGACUAGAGUGUGAGAGAGGGUUGU
rnacentral:rRNA from 1 species